rnacentral:ncRNA from 1 species
GCAGGUCCCCAAGGUUGAUAGCCACUAGUUGAUAGGAUAGUGUAGAUAAGGGAAGUCGGCAAAUUAGAUCCCUGCCUUCGGUAUAAGGAUUGGCUCUAAGGACCGGUAUGAACGGGCGAUGCAAUGAAACUUGGUUGAUGGCGCUUAAAUUGGGUUGGCUCUCGGGUCGGAUUAAUCUAAUGGCGUCGUUGCCUUGCAGACUUACCCUGCUGCGAGGUGGCGAUUCGGCGUCAGUACAUCGUUCGACAUUUAACGGUUGACUUAGAACUGGUACGGACUCGGGGAAUCCGGCUGUCUAAUUAAAACAGAGGAGAUAGAUGGUCCUUGCGGACGUUGACCAUAUUUGAUUUCUCCCCAAAGCUCUGAAUGUUAACGGGGAGUAAUCAGCAUGAGCGCGGGUAAACGAGCAGAAAAACUAUGACCCUGACAAGGUAUCCAAAGAGCCAACAGAGCAUCCACAUCAAAAAUGAAUAUGAGGGCGUUCGCCUUAGAAUCGGACAAAUCUGGAGGGGUUUGGCACAGC